GAGUUAUCUGAGAUCCAUGAAAUGAUCUAAUUUCCUCUUCUAAAAUUUUUAGGAAUUUCACUUGAAUUAAGAACUGGUGAACAUGCUCUGGUUCUCAAAGCAAUCAAGAUAAGCCUAAUAAAAAGAUUAAUAUAAAUAUAUUGAAAGUCAAUCAAGUGCAAAGUACUAUACUUGGUAUUUUGGGAAGUAAGAACAGAAUAAGAAUAAUAUCUACCUUUAUGGAAGUAAGAAAAGAGUUAAACAUAGGUAUAAUAUAGGAAUAUGAACUGAGGGCUCCCCUCAAGGUCCAGAUGCUGAUUGAAUGUGGCAGAUAUCUCCCUGUGUGAAUACUUGAUCCUUCAAUUAAAAAGGAAAAGAGAGAAGAGCCUCCCACGUUCAAGCGAUUCUCAUGCCCCAGCCUCCCAAGUAGCUGGGACUACAGGCACACACUACCACGCCUGGCUAAUUUUUUUUUUCUUUUUUCUUUUUCUUUUUUUUUUUUUUUUGGUAGAGACAGGGUUUCAUCAUGUUUCCUAGGCUGGUCUUGAACUCCCAGGCUCAGGUGAUUUGCCCACCUCGACCUCCCAAAUUGCUGGGAUUACAGGGGUGAGCCACCACGCCCAGCCACAUGCUUCUCUCUUAAUUAUGCCCAUGUGGUUAUUAACAAAUCCUGACCACAGUAAAAACAUAUCCUUUCAUACUGAGACAUGCAGAGCACAAACAAGACAAGUCUAUGUGCUGUCUUUCAUUAGGAAAUCUACAGAUUACCAGGCUGAUGAAAUCUUAAGCAAAAGGACUAGGUCUCUAAGUGUGUGCUUUAAGCCUUCAGCAGGCCAAGAGGAAGAUUCCUCUCUGCUGUCUUUGAAAUCAUCCCACCUAUAUUACAUAAUCAUCAAAUGUGCUCACAGUGUGCAUUUGUGUAUGUUGUAUGAUUGCAUAUGAAUAUGCUUCUCACAUCAACACUAUUACAAUUUUGGUAUUGUCCCUAUCAUCGGUAAAUAUUAAUUCAUUCGACAGCUUUAUAAGAUGCCUCUACUCCGUGGCACUCUGCCAAAGGCCAGGACUAGGGCAGUGAAAAAGAUACAUAUGAUUCCUGCCCUCAUGGGGCUCAGUCUAAUAAAGAAACUAUUUUAGGUCGAUUUACUUAGGUAAAGAUAGAGGUUAGUUACAAGGAAUUAUAGCUAUUAAUAAAAGAUAAACAUUUUAUAUUCUAUAUUUUUAGUUAGUAUUUAAAAAAAACACAUAUUCUAAUUAGUUUAAAAUGUCACUGUAAAUGUUAUGCUAGAUAAUGACGAAUAAGUUUGGCAUAGUCAGAUAGCUAUGCUGUUUUAGCAAGGUAGACUUGAAGUGUGAAGAAAAAACAUAUUUCAGGAUUCUAAGGCCUAAGCUUCUAAAAAGGAAUAUGGCUCAUGAGAAUUUGGAAGCUCUCAAAAGCAGAACUUUAAUUACGCAAUUGCAAUCUACACAAUACAGGUCACAAAUGUAUUAGACAGUAAUCCUUUGUGCUACUUCUCUGUGAUAGCUAAUGGUCUUACAAAGGAAGCGUCAAGGUCCUACAUAAUAAGGGUUCCUAUAGACCUUGGACCUAAAAGUCGCUCUUUUCAGCG
rnacentral:lncRNA from 10 species